rnacentral:lncRNA from 1 species
AAUGCAAGAAUAGACACCUAAAUCUCAAAACUUCUGGAUAAGAGAAGGAAUUAAUAACAUUCUACAUCAAAUGAGUUUUUGUUUCAUCACAAUCUGCAUUCCAUCAUCCUUAUAUUUAUUUAUUGUUUUGUUUUUCGGCAAACAUCCAGACACUUGAAUUUGAUAAUAUUCGAACACUUUCUACCCUGUUUCUGAAAUUAUUCAAGAACAGAGCUGUUUAUUCCCAUUCUUUGAGACUAAGAGUUGCUGCUCUGAUUCAGCAAAGUUCAAACCAUAAUUGUCGCAAAGUAUGUUAGGAAGUUGUUCUCUGACUUGGUUGCCAGGAAAAAACAGGAAAUGAGCUCUGAGGUUAUGACAGUUGCUUUGCUGUUAAGUCCCUCUGCCCGCAUCUUCUCCUCUCACCCUGAGAGUUCCUUCUUCCUCCCAUGUUUCAAACACCAGGAGUCCUUAACUCCAGGGCCUUCACCUCAAGUACAGCUCC